AUUGAACGCUGGCGGCAGGCUUAACACAUGCAAGUCGAGCGGGGUGAUGGUGCUUGCACUAUCACUUAGCGGCGGACGGGUGAGUAAUGCUUAGGAAUCUGCCUAUUAGUGGGGGACAACAUCUCGAAAGGGAUGCUAAUACCGCAUACGUCCUACGGGAGAAAGCAGGGGAUCACUUGUGACCUUGCGCUAAUAGAUGAGCCUAAGUCGGAUUAGCUAGUUGGUGGGGUAAAGGCCUACCAAGGCGACGAUCUGUAGCGGGUCUGAGAGGAUGUACGCACACACUGGGAGGGAGACACGGCCCAGCCCCCCGCGGGAGGCAGCAGGGGGGAAUAUUGGACAAGGGGGGGAACCUGGAUCCAGCCAGGCCGCGUGUGGGAAGAAGGCCUUAUGGUUGUAAAGCACUUUAGGGGAGGAGGAGGCUCUUUUGGUUAAUACCCAAGAUGAGGGGACGUUACUCGCAGAAUAAGCACCGGCUAACUCGGUGCCAGCCGCCGCCGUAA
rnacentral:rRNA from 1 species